rnacentral:lncRNA from 1 species
AAACAUUCACUAUUCAUGCCUUCGCCUAGUCGUCAAUAGCUCAAACUAGCUUUUCUUUUCCUUUUGCCUUACUCAUCGAAGGCUCCAACACUUCCAUAUCUUCACCAAAUUUAACCACACAAUAACCAUGAUUAAAAUUCAGCUAUAAACACUCUUAAAACAAUCAAAAUGCAGGCCUAAGUUAGUUCCUAUUGGAACAAAAAAUCUUCGACAUAGCAAACUUGAAACUUAAUUAUCUCAAUCUCCAC